rnacentral:tmRNA from 1 species
GGGGGUGUUUCGGCUUCGACGGGGGUCGCGAAAUCGACCGGUGCAUGCCGAGGGGGCAGCUUUCCUCGUUAAUCCAGCGGCAAAACUUCAGACGCCAACGACGACGUCUACGCUCUCGCCGCUUAAGGCGUAAGCCCUGAACCCGUUUGUGCUCGUGCUCGCGGAUGUAGGGUCAUUAUCACGGGAUCGCUUAUCGCGGCUGCCUGUCAGCGAAAGGCUAAAACAUAACCGGCUGGUUCUCUGGCGUGCUUCGCACACCGUGCUGUCAGGGAACGAGAUCCAACGGUGAGCUAAGCAUGUAGAGCCGGAGACGUAGGGCUUUCGGACGGGGGUUCAACUCCCCCCACCUCCACCA